rnacentral:lncRNA from 1 species
GCAGACGGGAGUUAACGGGAGGGUGGGAAAACAUAAUAUUUGGGUAUUUUUUUCCGCUUUGAAAAACAUCACCUGCAGUAAUGCAAGCGAGUCUGGUGGUGCAGAAACAAGUGGGGAGGGGGCGCUUAAUGCACAUUUAAUGUUUUGGAUGUAACGUUCCAGCGAAAUGCCUUUGUGUGUGGAGGUUUUUUCAGUUCUUGCUAAAAAUAGCAUCAGGGUUUGAUCGUGUUCCAGAAAUAGACCGAGGGCUGUACUGGAUAAAAAGCCAGCGCGGGUGGAAGAAAACCUGGACAUCACCGCAUUGCCCCCCCCAACUAUGUCUGGAAAUUAAUUGUUGGAUUUUUCCUCUCCUCUCUCCUGUCUCCCUCUCUGUCUCCACUUUCUCUUCCCUCCCUCUAUGUUUCUCUUUCCCUCUCUUAAGGAGUUCCCGUUUGGGUAGUCAGACCUGUCCUGACAGCCAGCCAGCCGGAGGUCUACACGAGGGUUGGCCAUGGAAGGAGGGAGUCCCAGAGGCCUCAGGGACUGGCAAGUCUGAACGAAUGAGCACCCGAGUCCCAGGAGUCUCCCACUGAAGGAAGAAUCUAAAGAGAUGCCUAAGUUCCAGGGAAUUUUCCC